UUAACUCAAUUUUGUAUGGAGUUGGAACAGCGCCUCUAGCGGCAAACAUAGGUAAACGUUCCAAUUCCAUACAAAUCUGAGUUA
rnacentral:pre_miRNA from 1 species